CGACGGAGUUCGACGAGCGGCUCGCAGAGCGCACCGCACCUCCGGCCCCCGCAGCAUUGCCGGUGACCAGGGAGAGGGAGCUGACCCCAAAUCUGUCCGGGGGUCCCCGAGAGGAAUUCCCAGUGCCAGACUUUGGCUGGGUAGAGGAGAAGGCUGUGAGGAAGAGGAGGAUGCCCCAGGACCCCCAGGCAGGCAUCUUCCAGAACCAAAUGGUGACUGAGUGGGACAAAAAAUGAAGAUUUUGGAGACAAUGGAGUGGAAACUCCUCUAAAAAGGUUUCUUUCCAGCCACCCAAGCACAUGGAUACUCAGCCAGCAUGGACACAUAAAUCCUUUUAUUUUGACCUUGAUUUUCUUUCGUUGUUCAUUGUUCAUUGUUCUUCAUCCUUUCACCCAACACUGGGGUAAAAAUAAAAACCUU